GAUGAACGCUAGCGGCAGGCUUAACACAUGCAAGUUGAGGGGCAGCAUGAACAGUAGCAAUAUUGUUUGAUGGCGACCAGCGCACGGGUGCGUAACACGUAUGCAAUCUACCUCGUACAUGGGCAUAACUCCGAGAAAUCGGUGCUAAUUCCCAAUGACACUACAGAGUGGCAUCACUCCAUAGUUAAAGUUCCGGCGGUACGAGAUGAGCAUGCGUCCAAUUAGCUAGUUGGUGAGGUAAUGGCUCACCAAGGCUACGAUUGGUAGGGGUUCUGAGAGGAUGAUCCCCCACACUGGUACUGAGACACGGUCCAGACUCCUACGGGAGGCAGCAGUAGGGAAUAUUGGACAAUGGGCGCAAGCCUGAUCCAGCCAUGCCGCGUGAGUGAAGAAGGCCCUCGGGUUGUAAAGCUCUUUUGUCCGGAAAGAAAAGCGCCGGGUUAAUACCCUGGUGUCCUGACGGUACCGGAAGAAUAAGCACC
rnacentral:rRNA from 1 species